rnacentral:rRNA from 1 species
GAUGAACGCUGACAGAAUGCUUAACACAUGCAAGUCAACUGUGGCGGACGGGUGAGUAACGCGUAAAGAACUUGCCUCACAGAUAGGGACAACAUUUGGAAACGAAUGCUAAUACCUGAUACUGUGAGAGAUCUUUGCGUCCCAUUAGCUAGUUGGAGAGGUAACGGCUUACCAAGGCGAUGAUGGGUAGCCGGCCUGGGAGGGUGAUUGGCCACAAGGGGACUGAGACACGAGCCUUACGGCAACGGGAGGCAGCAGUGGGGAAUAUUGGACAAUGGACCGAAGUCUGAUCCAGGAAUUCUGUGUGCACGAUGAAGUUUUCGGGAUGUAAAGUGCUUUCAGUUGGGAAGCGGUACCAACAGAAGAAGUGACGGCUAACUACGUGCCAGCAGCCGCGGUAAUUC